rnacentral:rRNA from 1 species
UACGUAGGUGGCAAGCGUUGUCCGGAAUUAUUGGGCGUAAAGCGCGCGCAGGCGGCCUCUUAAGUCUGAUGUGAAAGCCCCCGGCUCAACCGGGGAGGGCCAUUGGAAACUGGGAGGCUUGAGUAUAGGAGAGAAGAGUGGAAUUCCACGUGUAGCGGUGAAAAUGCGUAGAGAUGUGGAGGAACACCAGUGGCGAAGGCGACUCUUUGGCCUAUAACUGACGCUGGAGGCGCGAAAAGCGUGGGGAGCAAACAGG